ACAAAUUUUCAAUGGAAAUUCAGUUCCAACAACAAAAGCAGCAUAAAAGCUCGAGCGUUCCAGUGAAUAAAACAAGCAAAUUCAAGGGAAGACAUAGACCUAACAACAAUAAUAAUAAGUUUGUUGGUGUUAGACAAAGGCCUUCUGGUAGAUGGGUGGCAGAGAUAAAAGACACAACACAAAAGAUAAGGAUGUGGCUUGGCACCUUUGAGACAGCAGAAGAAGCUGCGAGAGCGUAUGAUGAAGCUGCCUGUCUUCUUCGCGGAUCAAAUACACGCACCAACUUCAUCACUCAAGUCUCCUUG
rnacentral:lncRNA from 1 species